rnacentral:rRNA from 1 species
CGAACGGGUGGGUAACGCGUGAGUAACCUGCCUUACACAAGGGGAUAGCCUUUGGAAACGAAGAAUAAUACCCUAUAAAACUAUAAAAGCACAUGCAAUUAUGGUCAAAGUGAUAGCGGUGUAAGAUGGACUUGCGUCUGAUUAGCUAGUUGGUGAGAUAAAAGCUCACCAAGGCAACGAUCAGUAGCCGGCUUGAGAGAGUGUACGGCCACAUUGGGACUGAGACACGGCCCAG